UACGGAGGGGGCAAGCGUUAUUCGGAAUUAUUGGGCGUAAAGGGCGCGUAGGCGGCUAGAUGUGUCAAAGGUGAAAUCCCUCGGCUCAACUGAGGAACUGCCUUUGAAACUGUCUGGCUUGAGGCCGGGAGAGGGUAGCGGAAUUCCCAGUGUAGCGGUGAAAUGCGUAGAUAUUGGGAGGAACACCAGUGGCGAAGGCGGCUUACUGGACCGGUUCUGACGCUGAGGCGCGAAAGCGUGGGGAGCAAACAGG
rnacentral:rRNA from 1 species